CCUACGGGUGGCUGCAGUGGGGAAUAUUGGACAAUGGGCGGAAGCCUGAUCCAGCAACGCCGCGUGAGGGAUGACGGCCUUCGGGUUGUAAACCUCUUUCAGUACCGACGAAGCGAGAGUGACGGUAGGUACAGAAGAAGGACCGGCCAACUACGUGCCAGCAGCCGCGGUAAUACGUAGGGUCCGAGCGUUGUCCGGAAUUAUUGGGCGUAAAGGGCUCGUAGGCGGUUUGUCGCGUCGGGAGUGAAAACAGCGGGCUUAACUCGUUGCUUGCUUCCGAUACGGGCAGACUAGAGGUAUGCAGGGGAGAAUGGAAUUCCUGGUGUAGCGGUGAAAUGCGCAGAUAUCAGGAGGAACACCGGUGGCGAAGGCGGUUCUCUGGGCAUUACCUGACGCUGAGGAGCGAAAGUGUGGGGAGCGAACAGGAUUAGAUACCCCAG
rnacentral:rRNA from 1 species